rnacentral:rRNA from 1 species
AACGAACGCUGGCGGCAGGCCUAACACAUGCAAGUCGAGCGCCCCGCAAGGGGAGCGGCGGACGGGUGAGUAACGCGUGGGAACGUGCCCUUUGCUACGGAAUAGCCCCGGGAAACUGGGAGUAAUACCGUAUAAGCCCUACGGGGAAAGAUUUAUCGGCAAAGGAUCGGCCCGCGUUGGAUUAGGUAGUUGGUGGGGUAAUGGCCUACCAAGCCGACGAUCCAUAGCUGGUUUGAGAGGAUGAUCAGCCACACUGGGACUGAGACACGGCCCAGACUCGUACGGGAGGCAGCAGUGGGGAAUCUUAGACAAUGGGCGCAAGCCUGAUCUAGCCAUGCCGCGUGAGCGAUGAAGGCCUUAGGGUUGUAAAGCUCUUUCGUGGGGGAAGAUAAUGACUGUACCCCAAGAAGAAGCCCCGGCUAACUCCGUGCCAGCCGCCGCCGUAAAAC